AUGACUACAGCGGGAGUUUCUGGGAUGAUGUUUCAGAGUGUGUUUGAAGGAAGCCUAUCAAUGCAGGACAUGGAAGUUGAGCGAAGGCCAUACCAUAAAAACUGCACUUGUGCGCUUCACAAAUCCAAGGGGGGUGUUUGCUCCAAUGCUUGUCCUCAAAAAAGGAACAUUUCCUUUCCAAAGAAACUGUCAUGGACUGACGGUUCCCUGUGCGUGCAGGCAGCAUCCACUUCCACAUGCACUGGAAAUAGAGGAAGUGUGGCUUGGGGUUCAUAGUUCGGCCUUGUCACAGACGAUAGAUAGACACCUUUCAGAGGCUAGCUUCAUUCGAUGGUUACGGGUGAGUUGGAAGAAUUAAUUAGGAAAUGAGAAGCAAUUUUAAUUGUUAAAGUUUCUCAUGAUCUUAUUCUUGUCCAUAAUUUGUACUCCUCCGGCACUAGUACCCAGCAUCAAAUUGACGUUGAGGAAAUAUUGGUGCUUGUGGGUUAGUUUCUUCUUCUUCUUCUUUCAUCCAAAUGUAAAUUCUGCGGAGUUUAUAUUCCUCCUGUAAUUAAACAUUGUCACAUUUCUCUCUUUAAUACAAUGCAACUCAAACUGCAUACAUACAACAGACUAUCGAAGUUCACAUGUUCUUGUAUGCCUGAUUCUACACUCUACUCUGUUAACAUUCUUUCUGCACUGGCACAGUAUAUGCCUCUACUACAACAUUAGCAUUUGA
rnacentral:lncRNA from 1 species